rnacentral:lncRNA from 1 species
CUUUUUUUUGCUUUGAAAUCUGCCAGCUCUUGGAAUCAGCCUCUACCAGGCCCCUCGGGUUUCGGGCUGGAGGAAGUGAGCAGGGAAGGUGGUUGGAGAUUUCUCAUUCUCCGAGGAAUAUGUUCGAUACAGACACCGCGGGUCUCCUUGUUAUGCUAGAAACCAGCGGUUGUUUGCACAUAAGGAGCUACCACACGGUAAUGAGGUGCAGCCAGAGGCAAAAUGACAUUUGGCGAAGUCUUUUGUGUACUGCAGCCAGUGACUCUGAAUGGGAACUCCGGGUAGCAGGGCUACAGAACCACGUCUUGGAUCAAUGUGCCGCAAACACAGACUUCAUGGCCUGUAGUUAGAAACGGCUUCUUUCUCCAGUGUCAACCCCGCCGUAAAACACACCUAAAGGUCUAACAGGCAGAAUUCGUCACUUCAGGAUUGUUUGUAGAACACUGCUGCUGCUGCGAGGAGCGUUCUGUAGGCCGGCAGA